CUCUCUCUCUUUUUACAUUUGGUCAAGCAGCACCUACCUAAGCCCUGAAAAAAUGCCUGCUCAUGAAGCGAGGAGAGGGCGCCGGGUCUGUAAAUAAGAAUGGCGGCACCUGACUUGCUGGAUUCCAAAUCUGCCACUCAGAACUCCAAACCACGGCUAUCAUUGUCUACAAAACCCACAGUGCUCUUGUCACGAGAGGAAUGUGAUUCGGCUACUAAUGUUAUGAAAUGGAAGACAGUCUCAACGAUUUUUCUGGUGGUUGUUGUAUAUUUAAUAACUGGAGCUACUGUCUUCAAACCCUGGAGCAGCCACAUGAAACUUCCCAAAGAGCCACCAUUGUGAUUCAGAAGCAGACAUUUGUAUCUGAGCGUUCCUGUGUGAAUGCAUCGGAGCUCGAUGAAGUAAUUCAGGUCAUUGAUGCAAAAAAGUAACUUGUUCCUAUGUUUUAGAAGGAUGAAUUCUUCUAUAGUAAUGGUUCUGUAAUAAAUGGGACACUGCUGUAUCAGCAUUUGAGCUGCAAAUGUAGCAAGAUGGCUAACUUAAGACAGAAAGGUUGGCAAUAGCAUUUGUAAACGAGGCUUCAGCUGACAAGUCAUUGCUAAUUUUUUUAUGUUCCGUGUGCAUUAUAGACAGCUUUUAAAUUGAAUGCUCCUGUGCCAAUUAAAUGACUAUUGAUUA